GGAGACUCUAAGACUUCUGAAGAGUUUCUUGCUUCUUUCCUGUGGGGCAGUGACUCCACUUCCCAGCAGUAAUGGAAUAUCCUGAAUUAGCUACAUUAAUGUUAGAACCAUUUGGACCUCACCCAGGACUUCAACUACAUUAUGGUUAAGACAGAGAAUCUGAAGACUGCAUACCUGACCUCUCGUUUUUACCUACCCACCCACCCACACCCAAAUAUUUCUACUGGACUAUAAUUUAUUGUGACGCCCCCAUUUCCACUGCAGGAUGUUAUAAGAAAUGAGACUCACUACUGAAUUCACAGCAGGCAUGGUUGAAGGCACCAUUCACUAUAGCUUGCAGUGUUCCCUUUAUGAGAUUUGUAUGAGAAAUUCCUCUCAUAGGUCAAGUUCUUGGGAGAAAAUUCUCCCAAAGAGCAAGUCCCAGGAAAAUCUUGGCUGCUAAAGUUACAGAACCCAAAUUUGGCAACUGUCUGCAUCUGAACAACAGAAGUUUCAACAUUCUGCCAACAGAGUAACUCCUGGACGAUUGGCACAGAAGAAGGCACAAGGCAAAUACCCAUCUCUGUACACCCUGUGCUACUGUGUCAUGUGCUGCUCCAGGCAACUCCAAUGGAUUGGCCACCCUGGCCAAUGUGCCCUCCAAACACCAGCACUGAGUAGAAAGAGGCUCUGAUUCAUGAAAUGUGAAUUUAUGACAGUUGCCACUCUUAAAAAAAAAAACAAACAGACAGAACUUGAGCAAUACAUGACUGAUGCAUUCUCAGCCUGCUUCCUGUGUUCCAUCUGUCUUUCU
rnacentral:lncRNA from 1 species